UUUAUGGAGAGUUUGAUCCUGGCUCAGGACGAACGCUGGCGGCGUGCUUAACACAUGCAAGUCGAACGGUUCUCGAAGUUCGAGGUUGGAUGUUCGAAGUUCGAAAAAGGAAAGCAAUUCGAGCCUCGAAUACCGAACCUCGAACUUCGAGGAUAGUGGCGGACGGGUGAGUAACGCGUGGAUAACCUGCCCAAUAGCCUGGGAUAACGCCGGGAAACUGGUGCUAAUACCGGAUACGUUCAUUGGACUGCAUAGUUCGAUGAAGAAAGGUGCAAACCGCUACUGGAUGGGUCCGCGUCCCAUUAGCUAGUUGGUAGGGUAACGGCCUACCAAGGCAGCGAUGGGUAGCCGGCCUGAGAGGGCGACCGGCCACACUGGAACUGAGACACGGUCCAGACUCCUACGGGAGGCAGCAGUGGGGAAUCUUCCGCAAUGGGCGCAAGCCUGACGGAGCAACGCCGCGUGAGUGACGAAGGUCUUCGGAUUGUAAAACUCUGUCCAAAGGGAAGAAACAAAUGACGGUACCUUUGGAGGAAGCCCCGGCUAACUACGUGCCAGCAGCCGCGGUAAAACGUAGGGGGCAAGCGUUGUCCGGAAUUACUGGGCGUAAAGGGCGUGUAGGCGGCUCUACAAGUUAGAAGUGAAACCUAUCAGCUCAACUGAUAGCCUGCUUCUAAAACUGUCGGGCUUGAGUGCAGUAGAGGGGAGUGGAAUUCCCAGUGUAGCGGUGAAAUGCGUAGAUAUUGGGAGGAACACCAGUGGCGAAAGCGGCUCCCUGGCCUGUAACUGACGCUGAGGCGCGAAAGCGUGGGUAGCAAACAGGAUUAGAUACCCUGGUAGUCCACGCUGUAAACGAUGGGUGCUAGGUGUUGGGGGUAUCGACCCCCCCAGUGCCGCAGUUAACGCAAUAAGCACCCCGCCUGGGGAGUACGGCCGCAAGGCUGAAACUCAAAGGAAUUGACGGGGGCCCGCACAAGCGGUGGAGUAUGUGGUUUAAUUCGACGCAACGCGAAGAACCUUACCAGGUCUUGACAUCUCCUGAUCGUCAUGGAAACAUGAUCUUUCCCUUCGGGGAACAGGAAGACAGGUGGUGCAUGGUUGUCGUCAGCUCGUGUCGUGAGAUGUUGGGUUAAGUCCCGCAACGAGCGCAACCCCUACCUUUAGUUGCCAGCAUGUAGAGAUGGGCACUCUAAAGGGACUGCCGUUGACAAAACGGAGGAAGGUGGGGAUGACGUCAAAUCAUCAUGCCCUUUAUGACCUGGGCUACACACGUACUACAAUGGCCGGUACAGACGGAAGCGCAGCCGUGAGGUGAAGCGAACCCGAAAAAGCCGGUCCCAGUUCGGAUUGCAGGCUGCAACUCGCCUGCAUGAAGUCGGAAUCGCUAGUAAUCGCAGGUCAGCAUACUGCGGUGAAUACGUUCCCGGGCCUUGUACACACCGCCCGUCACACCACGAAAGUUGGCAACACCCGAAGCCGGUGAGUUAACCGUAAGGAAACAGCCGUCGAAGGUGGGGUCGGUAAUUGGGGUGAAGUCGUAACAAGGUAGCCGUAUCGGAAGGUGCGGCUGGAUCACCUCCUUU
rfam:Desulfotomaculum gibsoniae DSM 7213, complete genome.